rnacentral:rRNA from 1 species
GACGAACGCUGGCGGCGUGCCUAAUACAUGCAAGUUGAGCGCUGAAGGUUGGUACUUGUACCGACUGGAUGAGCAGCGAACGGGUGAGUAACGCGUGGGGAAUCUGCCUUUGAGCGGGGGACAACAUUUGGAAACGAAUGCUAAUACCGCAUAAAAACUUUAAACACAAGUUUUAAGUUUGAAAGAUGCAAUUGCAUCACUCAAAGAUGAUCCCGCGUUGUAUUAGCUAGUUGGUGAGGUAAAGGCUCACCAAGGCGAUGAUACAUAGCCGACCUGAGAGGGUGAUCGGCCACAUUGGGACUGAGACACGGCCCAAACUCCUACGGGAGGCAGCAGUAGGGAAUCUUCGGCAAUGGACGAAAGUCUGAACGAGCAACGCCGCGUGAGUGAAGAAGGGUUUCGGAUCGUAAAACUCUGUUGGUAGAGAAGAAAGUUGGUGAGAGUGGAAAGCUCAUCAAGUGACGGUAACUACCCAGAAAGGGACGGCUAACUACGUG